ACUAAAAGUAUUAUGUUUAUAUAGUAAAAAUAAGAAAGUUUCAUUGCAUUGAAUUAAUAGUAUAAUAUUUCAAGUCUACAAAAUGUCACAGAUUUAAACCAACUUAACCAGAUCAUUUUAAACCUACUAGCAGUUGAAGAUUGUCCCAAAGCGCUUUCCGUACUUGCAAUUUCGCACAUGCACGGGAGGAAGCAAGAAGCAUCCAUUUUCCAUCUGCCCUUGGCCAAUUUUUUUAAAUCCGUUAUCAUCCAUAAAUUAUUUGGCUCUGAAUGUGGAGGUGCAAACAGUGUCCUGAAAGUGAAUCUACAAGGACUACAGAACAAGUAAUAUUGAAAAAGAAGAAAAACCAACAGGUAAUCAAAAGUAAAAUGGAAGGAACCUUUGCCUAUAGAAGACAGGAAGUUGUUGGAAGAUAUGCCCUUCAUAGCAGAGUUCAAAAACAGAUGGCCAGGCCUGUUUUCUGAGAGCCAGGUAAAUGCAGAAUUCACCCUCAUCACCACUAAACCCUUAUGUCCCGACUGGAUCAUUACUAUAGCCAGCUAUUGAGGGUAUUCAAAAAGAAGUGGGGAACUGCAAGACGUGAUAUCAACGUAAUCAUUGCAGAAAUGGACAUGGCUACUGAGGAUACUGGUAUUGAUGCAAUGGCGGAAAUGGAGAGACUGGCUUUGGGUGUCUACAUUGUUCGACAUGAUGGAGCAGAUGCUUCAGAUCCACCUGGGGAUGCUGGCGUCGUCAUUGAAGGCUGCACAGUGCUGCGAGAUCUGAGAGAGGUUGCAAAUGGAUGUGCAGUCCUGUUUGGCUUGAUUCUGUUUAAACUGAGCUAUCCAAAGGAGCUGCAAUAAACAUUCGAAUUUCUUAAGAAAUUGUUUAUGGAAUUGGAUGGGAACAAGCUCUCCACUAAAGUGCAAGGUCCUCAAAAACAAACUGCAUGAGUAAAAUCACCUGCACCAGACAAGACUGGACCCGGCUUUGGACACUUUAGUUGUGUUGACUGUUACUUUAUUUUUGGACUGCUGCUUGACAAAAUAAAGCUAUAAUCAAUGAUGGUUUGUAAUAAGCAGACAGGACUGCAGUUGGUCAUCGACUUGCUUGGGGAGGCUCAGUUCUUUGGAUUUUGGACUGCUGCUAGACAAAACAUCUAGCAAUCUAAAGACAAUGUUGGUUGUUGUAAUUGGCAUUUAAACUUCUCUUGUUUCUGAUUUCUUCAGAAUCAAAAGAUGUGAAAUACAACAAACACUGGUUUGUUAUAAUGAAACCAUCUCAAACAAUUUAAGGUGAAGAUUGUUUUUUUGUUACGUAAACAUUGCUGAUUUUCUAUUUCUCCUUUUAAUGCAAACUAUAAACCUUGUAUUUUUCAUAAAAAUGUUCUUGAUAAGUCAGCAGGUAUGUAAAGUCUGAACAUAGUAUGUUCUAACGGUGAAGUGAGAAUUUUUCUGCAGCAUAAAUCCUCUUGAUUUUAAACUUCAGUUAAUUUAACCUCCCUCCAUAUAGAAAACAAGGAUUUGCCUCUUUAGUUUUAAUUUCAGUAGGCAACACCUGUUAGACAUUGUUGACGUCAAAGUUCCAAUUUACUAUAAAGCUAUAUUGGGAUUGAACAUUAUCAGAUGGUGAAGAUUCACAAACAAGUUUUAUAUUUUUUAAUUAUUAUUUAUAUUGGUCUAUUUGCAUUUUAUACGUGGAUUUAUGUUGGUGUCUUCAAUUGUAUUUUUACACUUUGUAUUUGUAUGUAAGUUUUGCUUACGUAUUUGUAAUAAUUUUAUCAGUCAUGAUAAUCCCAGAUAUAUUAAUGUACCUUGAAGGUCAACAUUACUUUGGCUUAUAUUUCAAAACCAAAGGUGAAUAAAGUUAAUUAAAGUGACUUGAGUAGUUUUCUUUUUAAACCGAGCAAGUAUAAUCAACACAAAUGGAUAACAUUAGCUUAUUUCUGUUUAAUAGAUAGAACUUAAUCAGGUAAUGUUAGUUCAAGCUAUAGUCAUUAAAUUCAAGACAAUAAUUUACAUUUAUUCAAAAUAAUUGUGUAAUGUACCAUUUAAUUAACACCGUUAUGAACGAUUUACUUAAAACAUUAUGUUACAAUUAAUUGUAUAUUACCUUUUCCAUUUAAGCAACUAAGUUUUGUGGGACCGGUUGACAUAACUUUAUUAAUUAAAUACAACAUUUCAUUUCUUA